GACGAACGCUGGCGGCAUGCCUAAUACAUGCAAGUCGAGCGAACAGAUGAAGUGCUUGCACUUCUGACGUUAGCGGCGAACGGGUGAGUAACACGUAAGGAAUCUACCUAUAAGCGGGGGAUAACAUUCGGAAACGGGAGCUAAUACCGCAUAAUAUCUUCUUCCGCAUGGAAGAAGAUUGAAAGACGGCUCUGCUGUCACUUAUAGAUGAACUUGCGGUGCAUUAGUUAGUUGGUGGGGUAACGGCCUACCAAGACGACGAUGCAUAGCCGACCUGAGAGGGUGAUCGGCCACAUUGGAACUGAGACACGGCCCAGACUCCUACGGGAGGCAGCAGUAGGGAAUCUUCCGCAAUGGGCGAAAGCCUGACGGAGCAAUGCCGCGUGAGUGAAGAAGGUCUUCGGGUCGUAAAACUCUGUUAUAAGAGAAGAACAAAUUGUAGAGUAACUGCUACAGUCUUGACGGUAUCUUAUCAGAAAGCCACGGCUAACUACGUG
rnacentral:rRNA from 1 species